rnacentral:rRNA from 1 species
UACGUAGGGGGCUAGCGUUGUCCGGAAUCAUUGGGCGUAAAGAGCGUGUAGGCGGUCCGGUAAGUCCGCUGUGAAAGUCGGGGGCUCAACCCUCGAAUGCCGGUGGAUACUGUCGGGCUAGAGUGCGGAAGAGGCGAGUGGAAUUCCUGGUGUAGCGGUGGAAUGCGCAGAUAUCAGGAGGAACACCAGUGGCGAAGGCGGCUUCCUGGACCGGUUCUGACACUGAGGAGCGAAAGCGUGGGGAGCGAUCCGG